rnacentral:rRNA from 1 species
UGGGGAAUCUUGGACAAUGGGGGCAACCCUGAUCCAGCCAUGCCGCGUGGGUGAUGAAGGCCUUAGGGUCGUAAAGCCCUUUCGCCGGGGAAGAUAAUGACGGUACCCGGUAAAGAAGCCCCGGCUAACUCCGUGCCAGCAGCCGCGGUAAUACGGAGGGGGCUAGCGUUGUUCGGAAUGACUGGGCGUAAAGCGCGCGUAGGCGGAUCAGGAAGUUGGGGGUGAAAUCCCGGGGCUCAACCUCGGAAUGGCCUUCAAAACUCCUGGUCUUGAGUUCGAGAGAGGUGAGUGGAAUUCCGAGUGUAGAGGUGAAAUUCGUAGAUAUUCGGAGGAACACCAGUGGCGAAGGCGGCUCACUGGCUCGACACUGACGCUGAGGUGCGAAAGCGUGGGGGAGCAAACAGGAUUAGAUACCCUGGUAGUCCACGCCGUAAACGAUGAAUGCCAGACGUCGGGGGGCUUGCCCUUCGGUGUCACACCUAACGGAUUAAGGCAUUCCGCCUGGGGGAGUACGGUCGCAAGAUUAAAACUCAAAUGAAUUGACGGGGUCAUAGCUGUUUCC